AGGGUUUGAUCAUGGCUCAGGAUGAACGCUAGCGGCAGGCUUAAUACAUGCAAGUCGAGGGGCAGCGGGAGUAGCAAUACUUGCCGGCGACCGGCGCACGGGUGCGUAACACGUAUACAAUCUGCCUCUAACAGGGGAAUAGCCCGGAGAAAUUCGGAUUAAUACCCCAUAAUAAAUUGAGUGGCAUCAUUUGAUUUUGAAAGCUCCGGCGGUUAGAGAUGAGUAUGCGUCUGAUUAGCUAGUUGGUAGGGUAACGGCCUACCAAGGCGACGAUCAGUAGGGGAUCUGAGAGGAUGACCCCCCACACGGAUACUGAGACACGGAUCCGACUCCUACGGGAGGCAGCAGUGGGGAAUAUUGGGCAAUGGGCGAAAGCCUGACCCAGCGACGCCGCGUGAGGGAUGAAGGUCUUCGGAUUGUAAACCUCUUUCAGUAGGGAAGAAGCGAAAGUGACGGUACCUAAAGAAGAAGCACCGGCUAACUAUGUGCCAGCAGCCGCGGUAAUACAUAGGGUGCAAGCGUUGUCCGGAAUUAUUGGGCGUAAAGAGCUCGUAGGUCGUUUGUCGCGUCGAUUGUGAAAAUCUGAGGCUCAACCUCAGACCUGCAGUCGAUACGGGCAAACUAGAGUGUGGUAGGGGAGACUGGAAUUCCUGGUGUAGCGGUGGAAUGCGCAGAUAUCAGGAGGAACACCAAUGGCGAAGGCAGGUCUCUGGGCCAUAACUGACACUGAGGAGCGAAAGCGCGGGGAGCGAACAGGAUUAGAUACCCUGGUAGUCCGCGCCGUAAACGGUGGGCACUAGCUGUGGGUCCCUUCCACGGGAUCCGCGACGCAGCAAACGCAUUAAGUGCCCCGCCUGGGGAGUACGAUCGCAAGAUUAAAACUCAAAGGAAUUGACGGGGCCCCGCACAAGCAGCGGAGCAUGCGGCUUAAUUCGACGCAACGCGAAGAACCUUACCAAGGCUUGACAUAUAGCGAAAAGUGGCAGAGAUGUCAUGUCCGCAAGGGCGCUAUACAGGUGGUGCAUGGUUGUCGUCAGCUCGUGUCGUGAGAUGUUGGGUUAAGUCCCGCAACGAGCGCAACCCUUGUCCAAUGUUGCCAACAUUCAGUUGGGGACUCAUUGGAGACCGCCGGGGUCAACUCGGAGGAAGGUGGGGAUGACGUCAAGUCCUCAUGCCCCUUAUGUCCAGGGCUGCAAACACGCUACAAUGGCCGAUACAAAGGGCUGCGAGCUCGCAAGAGUGAGCCAAUCCCAUAAAGUCGGUCUCAGUUCGGAUUGAAGUCUGCAACUCGACUUCAUGAAGCUGGAGUUGCUAGUAAUCCCGGAUCAGCACGCCGGGGUGAAUACGUUCCCGGGCCUUGUACACACCGCCCGUCACACCACGAAAGUCGGCAACACCCGAAGCCGGGGGCCCAACCGCAAGGAGGGACCCGUCGAAGGUGGGGUCGGUGAUUGGGGUGAAGUCGUAACAAGGUAGCCGUA
rnacentral:rRNA from 1 species